rnacentral:rRNA from 1 species
GGAUGCGAUCAUACCAGCACUAAAGCACCGGAUCACAUCAGAACUCUGAAGUUAAGCGUGCUUGGGAGAGAGUAGUACUAGGAUGGGUGACCUCCAGGGAAGUCCUCGUGUUGCAUUCC